rnacentral:misc_RNA from 1 species
AACGCAUAUUGCGCCCUUUGGUAUUCCGAAGGGCAUGCCUGUUCGAGCGUCAUUAUCAACCCUCAAGCCUGGCUUGUCAUUGAACCUCUUGUCGUUAAAAGACGGGUUCGAAAGAUAAUGACGGUGUCGCGAUUGACCCUAGAUGCAACGAGCUUCACAGCACGCAUGUUAGUGGCCAGCCGGCCCCGGUCUAACCUUAUUUUAAUGGUUGACCUCGGAUCAGGUAGGAUUACCCGCUGAACUUAA